AAAAAAUAAAAUAAAUAAAAAUAAGAAGUAGUACCUUUGGCCCAGGUUGUAUCGGGGUCCCGGCCUUGUUACCUUCGUCGUUUAACUUGAUUUGUCUUUGUAGAUUCCUGGGCACCCCUCCCCGCCAGUGCUGGCGUAAAGACACUGCUCCCAGUACCAAGUUUUGAAGGAUGAUAAAGAAGAUGUCACAUGUCUGGCCUGAAGUUUUGCCCACCCACCAAAACCUGGCACACUGACCUGUGCAGGUCUCAGCAUGAAAAGUCCCUGCAUAUAUGAGAGAAAGAGCAUUGAUCAAAGGAUUCCUAGGUUAUGUUUCCAUUCCUGAAAAACCCAAGCUUAGAUUUAUUGAAAGGGCACCACUUGUGCCAAAAGUAAGAAGAGAACCUAAAAAUUUAAGUGACAUACGGGGACCUUCCACUGAAGCUACGGAGUUUACAGAAGGCAAUUUUGCAAUCUUGGUGAGUGAAUUCAGCAUCGAGCAGCAAUGGGAUGGAAGCUAGGGAAUAACAAAAUCUCAUACUCCUUGAGAUAAUUUAGUCUCUUCCUCCACAGUUUUUAUUAGAACUGCCACCAGUUGCUCUUUAAACUGGUACGUACAGAGGCUACUGGGUACCCAGUAAACAUUUGGGUUAUAUAUCUUUUUUUUUUUUUUUUAAUGUAGAGUGAAAAUAACGUAAAAGCAGAAGGAAGGGGCUAGCUAAUGUGCCCCAUAAUCAGAUCAUGAGAUCUUUUCAAGCCCUGGUAAAAAUAAAACCAUCCACAAUAUAGGAUGUGGAAGACAGCUGUUUCCUUACUUGUUGAGUAGCUUCCAUGAAGACUUGAUGUCAGCAGCCACACAAAUGGGUGUGCACUAGGAUUUGUUUUCCACCAGGCAGCCAGAGUGAUAUUCCAAAGUCCUCUUCCUGCAGCCUACAUAAUCACCCCCAC
rnacentral:sRNA from 1 species